UGAACCAGCCAAGUAGCGUGCAGGAUGACGGCCCUAUGGGUUGUAAACUGCUUUUAUGUGAGAAUAAAGUUAGGUAUGUAUACUUAUUUGCAUGUAUCACAUGAAUAAGGACCGGCUAAUUCCGUGCCAGCAGCCGCGGUAAUACGGAAGGUCCAGGCGUUAUCCGGAUUUAUUGGGUUUAAAGGGAGCGUAGGCUGGAGAUUAAGUGUGUUGUGAAAUGUAGACGCUCAACGUCUGAAUUGCAGCGCAUACUGGUUUCCUUGAGUACGCACAACGUUGGCGGAAUUCGUCGUGUAGCGGUGAAAUGCUUAGAUAUGACGAAGAACUCCGAUUGCGAAGGCAGCUGACGGGAGCGCAACUGACGCUUAAGCUCGAAGGUGCGGGUAUCGAACAGGAUUAGAUACCCUGGUAGUCCGCACAGUAAACGAUGGAUGCUCGCUGUUGGCCUUUGUGGUCAGUGGCUUAGCGAAAGCGUUAAGCAUCCCACCUGGGGAGUACGCCGGCAACGGUGAAACUCAAAGGAAUUGACGGGGGCCCGCACAAGCGGAGGAACAUGUGGUUUAAUUCGAUGAUACGCGAGGAACCUUACCCGGGCUUGAAUUGCAGAGGAAGGAUUUAGAGAUAAUGACGCCCUUCGGGGUCUCUGUGAAGGUGCUGCAUGGUUGUCGUCAGCUCGUGCCGUGAGGUGUCGGCUUAAGUGCCAUAACGAGCGCAACCCCUUUUCUUAGUUGCCAUCAGGUAAUGCUGGGCACUCUGGGAACACUGCCACCGCAAGGUGUGAGGAAGGUGGGGAUGACGUCAAAUCAGCACGGCCCUUACGUCCGGGGCUACACACGUGUUACAAUGGCCGGUACAGAGGGAUGGUGUAAUGCAAAUUGCAUCAAAUCUUGAAAGCCGGUCCCAGUUCGGACUGGGGUCUGCAACCCGACCCCACGAAGCUGGAUUCGCUAGUAAUCGCGCAUCAGCCAUGGCGCGGUGAAUACGUUCCCGGGCCUUGUACACACCGCCCGUCAAGCCAUGAAAGCCGGGGGUGCCUGAAGUCCGUGACCGCAAGGAUCGGCCUAGGGCAAAACUGGUGAUUGGGGCUAAGUCGUAACAAGGUAGCCGUACCGGAAGGUGCGGCUG
rnacentral:rRNA from 1 species